UACGUAGGGGGCAAGCGUUGUCCGGAUUUAUUGGGCGUAAAGAGCUCGUAGGUGGUUCGGUAAGUCGGAUGUGAAAUCUCCAGGCUCAACCUGGAGGGGUCAUUCGAUACUGCCGUGACUAGAGGUCGGUAGGGGAGUGUGGAAUUCCUGGUGGAGCGGUGAAAUGCGCAGAUAUCAGGAGGAAUACCCGUAGCGAAGGCGGCACUCUGGGCCGAUACUGACACUGAGGAGCGAAAGCGUGGGGAGCGAACAGG
rnacentral:rRNA from 1 species